AGACUAUGCGUUCUGCCCUAGUUUCACAAUUAUUUUAUGGCGUGUCUAACUUCAUUCAUUCUACACCAUAGAACAGGCAAGUGUUGGUAUGUCUAUUGACAUACCAGUUGAAACGCCACAACAGGAGCCAAAUAGGAGAAACUUGAUGUCAGCUAUUGCAGGUGAGGCAUAUUUUUCCUCAACAUCUGCAAAGGGACUAUAUAUGCAGACAAAUGUGCUUUCUAAUCUGCUUUGUUGGAUUUUACUUUUUACUAAUAAGCAAUUAAGCAUAUCGUUUAUUGAACUAAUGGCUGUGCAGAACAUUCUCAUUUGAAUCAUCAAUCUCUGCCAAAGACUACCGGCAGAAGAUUGUCACCUGAAGCCAGAUCUUCUGUGUUGCACCAGAGUAUACAUCAGCGUGCCAGUGUUUGGGACAGACUGGGGAAACGAUAUGAAGAUAGUGAUACCUUGAUGGACGUAAAAAAAAAUCAAGAUAAUGUUGCUGUAAGCAAGAUAUAUAAAAUGGAUCAUUGUAAUAA
rnacentral:lncRNA from 1 species